GAUCCCGUAGCUCAGUUGGAUAGAGCAGGUGCCUUCUAAGCAUCAGGUCGGGAGUUCGAAUCUCUCCGGGAUCGCCA
rnacentral:tRNA from 1 species